rnacentral:lncRNA from 1 species
AACUAACAGUCCAGCAUGCUUCACAGAUUUUGAAUAAAAUACUGAUUUGCUCUCUGAUUAUUCCCUGUCCAUAAUUAAUUAGCUUCUGCAACAUCAAACUAUUUUAAUAAUAUUUUGCCAUUUUAAAAUCAACGGUGAAUAAAAUCUGCUUUGUGAUAGCCUUUCGGGUCACUUAGAAUAAACAUUAAUAAUUUGCUACUGCCCAUAUGCUCUUAUUUAGCUAAUCUGUCCUAAUUAAACUGGCCAAUAAUUAGUUAAAAUCUACAUUCUGAAAUAACUUUCUGCUCCCC